AUGCAAGUCGAACGAACUCUGGUAUUGAUUGGUGCUUGCAUCAUGAUUUACAUUUGAGUGAGUGGCGAACUGGUGAGUAACACGUGGGAAACCUGCCCAGAAGCGGGGGAUAACACCUGGAAACAGAUGCUAAUACCGCAUAACAACUUGGACCGCAUGGUCCGAGUUUGAAAGAUGGCUUCGGCUAUCACUUUUGGAUGGUCCCGCGGCGUAUUAGCUAGAUGGUGGGGUAACGGCUCACCAUGGCAAUGAUACGUAGCCGACCUGAGAGGGUAAUCGGCCACAUUGGGACUGAGACACGGCCCAAACUCCUACGGGAGGCAGCAGUAGGGAAUCUUCCACAAUGGACGAAAGUCUGAUGGAGCAACGCCGCGUGAGUGAAGAAGGGUUUCGGCUCGUAAAACUCUGUUGUUAAAGAAGAACAUAUCUGAGAGUAACUGUUCAGGUAUUGACGGUAUUUAACCAGAAAGCCACGGCUAACUACGUGCCAGCAGCCGCGGUAAUACGUAGGUGGCAAGCGUUGUCCGGAUUUAUUGGGCGUAAAGCGAGCGCAGGCGGUUUUUUAAGUCUGAUGUGAAAGCCUUCGGCUCAACCGAAGAAGUGCAUCGGAAACUGGGAAACUUGAGUGCAGAAGAGGACAGUGGAACUCCAUGUGUAGCGGUGAAAUGCGUAGAUAUAUGGAAGAACACCAGUGGCGAAGGCGGCUGUCUGGUCUGUAACUGACGCUGAGGCUCGAAAGUAUGGGUAGCAAACAGGAUUAGAUACCCUGGUAGUCCAUACCGUAAACGAUGAAUGCUAAGUGUUGGAGGGUUUCCGCCCUUCAGUGCUGCAGCUAACGCAUUAAGCAUUCCGCCUGGGGAGUACGGCCGCAAGGCUGAAACUCAAAGGAAUUGACGGGGGCCCGCACAAGCGGUGGAGCAUGUGGUUUAAUUCGAAGCUACGCGAAGAACCUUACCAGGUCUUGACAUACUAUGCAAAUCUAAGAGAUUAGACGUUCCCUUCGGGGACAUGGAUACAGGUGGUGCAUGGUUGUCGUCAGCUCGUGUCGUGAGAUGUUGGGUUAAGUCCCGCAACGAGCGCAACCCUUAUUAUCAGUUGCCAGCAUUAAGUUGGGCACUCUGGUGAGACUGCCGGUGACAAACCGGAGGAAGGUGGGGAUGACGUCAAAUCAUCAUGCCCCUUAUGACCUGGGCUACACACGUGCUACAAUGGAUGGUACAACGAGUUGCGAACUCGCGAGAGUAAGCUAAUCUCUUAAAGCCAUUCUCAGUUCGGAUUGUAGGCUGCAACUCGCCUACAUGAAGUCGGAAUCGCUAGUAAUCGCGGAUCAGCAUGCCGCGGUGAAUACGUUCCCGGGCCUUGUACACACCGCCCGUCACACCAUGAGAGUUUGUAACACCCAAAGUCGGUGGGGUAACCUUUUAGGAACCAGC
rnacentral:rRNA from 1 species